CUUAGUAGCGGCGAGUGAAGCGGCAAAAGCUCAAAUUUGAAAUCUGGCACUUUCAGUGUCCGAGUUGUAAUUUGAAGAAGGUAUCUUUGGGUCUGGCUCUUGUCUAUGUUUCUUGGAACAGAACGUCACAGAGGGUGAGAAUCCCGUGCGAUGAGAUGUCCCAGACCUAUGUAAAGUUCCUUCGAAGAGUCGAGUUGUUUGGGAAUGCAGCUCUAAGUGGGUGGUAAAUUCCAUCUAAAGCUAAAUAUUGGCGAGAGACCGAUAGCGAACAAGUACAGUGAUGGAAAGAUGAAAAGAACUUUGAAAAGAGAGUGAAAAAGUACGUGAAAUUGUUGAAAGGGAAGGGCUUGAGAUCAGACUUGGUAUUUUGUAUGUUACUCUCUCGGGGGUGGCCUCUACAGUUUACCGGGCCAGCAUCAGUUUGAGCGGUAGGAUAAGUGCAAAGAAAUGUGGCACUGCUUCGGUAGUGUGUUAUAGUCUUUGUCGAUACUGCCAGCUUAGACUGAGGACUGC
rnacentral:rRNA from 1 species